UUGAAGCUCCAAUGCUUGCCAAAACUUGGGAUGUAUUAGCGGAGAAUCGUAUGAGAUUGGUCCUUCGAGUAUUACAGGUUGUACCGACUCAUGGGUGUGUUCAGGUUUUUUCUUUUCGACCCAGACGAAUUGCGGUCUCUGGAUCGGAGGGUUGGGUCUCUUGCUAGGAUCUGACCUGUUGUUCUUUGAAGUUUCUUGAUCUGGUGUUGGGUUGAUCUCGUUGGAGUUUUCUGAGUGUGUAGGUUUGCUUCGUGGUCUCUUCCCUUCUUUGUUUCUUCUUAGUGGACAGUUCUUGGCAUGAUGUGAAGUGCUGCGACAUCGGUUACAUUAGUUUGGCAGACCACUGUAUUCGAUGAUGUAUUCUUUCGCCACCUAGGAAAUUUGGUAGGACCAUUGAGUGUGGAAGUUUUGUGAUGUCGUCCACCAGUAUGCGUACACGAGAGUCUGAAACUUUACUUCUGUAUGUUUCGGAGGGGUCAAUUGCCAUCACCUCGCCGAUGUUACUAAAUGCCUCUUUGAGUUGUGGUGUGCGUAGUAAGCGUUGUAGUCCUCGCAGUUGGGCCCAUAUUGGAUAGGUUACUUGUUGAUAAAGCUGAUGCAGCUUCCAGGUCAAAAUCAGCUCUCCACGUAGAGAAGAGAAUGUCUUGGUUGUUGAAUUUGUACUGUUUGGUUAGCGUGUGCGUUUUGCCUUGUUCACUUGUGAAGUGUACCUCAAAGUAUCCUCCUCCUAGCAUCGUUAUCGAGGAGUAGGAAUUAUGGGGUACCUGAGUGGCCCAUUCGUGAAGUAUCCUCGGGCCGGGGUUCUUCUUCAAGUAUCCAAUGAGGGGUGCGUCCCCCGAUUUCACGGAGCCCCGCUCGCUCUAGCCAACUCGCUCUCCGCUCUACCAUUUGAGCUCCUAACCAACUGAGCUACGGGAGCUCACGCCCUGAUUUAUUUCAUAAUCCUUUAUAGAGUUGUUUUUCGUAGUUGAACUAUUAAUGUGGAGAUAUCGGAUUGUGUCGACUGGUUUUGCAAAGCGAUUGACAAAGUUAUGAGUAUUUUGAAACUAUGUGUCAACGAAGCGGCAUAACAAUGCUUCUUCAAAAAUAAUGAACAUCCUUUGGUAGAAGAAUGGACAUGUGCCAUCAACGGUCCCUUGUGGAGUUAUUUUUUUCUUGUUGUGACAGUCGUUAGCCAGACUUUGUCCGACUCGAUCCUAGGGCUGGUCGUAGGAACCACUGAAUGCUUGUGGAAUCACGUAGAACAAGCAUUUAAGUUUUUGUACAAUGGCGGAAAAGAAACAUGGAUUUCAAUCUCUUACCGAC